GAGACUUUGUCGAGUAAUUCCGAGGGAAAACAAGAAAGUGUUGAGUCUUUGCGCUUGAAUUUUAACCAAAGCAAGUUGGAAAAGAUUAGACAUCCAACUGUACAACAAAACAAAACGUUUUCCUCGGAGAAAGUCAGAGAGAUUGAGCGCAGAAAUUCGAUGCUUGUGAACAGGAUUUUGUACCACAACCGGCGACCAAACCAGUAUAAACCUACCGUUGCUAGUUUACCGAAAAUAACCAGCGCAGAGAUCAAUAGAAGACGGUUUAAUGAGAAAAUAGCCAAAGACAAUCAGAUAUUGUUGAAAAAAAUUCAAUCCGUAAAACCAGCAGUGCGAUACCCAUAAAGAUGUCUGUGAAGUAACAUUUUACAGUAUUUUCUAUGAUUUUAAAUAGAGUUUUGUUGAAUUGA
rnacentral:lncRNA from 1 species